rnacentral:lncRNA from 1 species
UAACUAAGAAUAGUGAUUCAAUAACUAAGGUUAUGAAUUUAAUUUCCUAUUUGGAAAUUAUGAAUACUAAUGUUCCUAAAAAUUCAGCGCAAUUUGAAGGUUAAAAACUUCCUAAUCGCCAAUCUUGACAGGCUAAAUCCACAAAAAAAAAACGUAGGGGAACAUGAAGAAGAAACAUGCCUUCUUUCUAAUACAUUGGUAAAAAACCCAAGCAGAAAAAGCCUAUAUUCUGAAAAAUUAUUUGACUCAAUCGCCCUAUUAACUACUUAAAAAAAUUACAUAAUUUAAUGGUGCACAAAUCCUCUGUGAAUGGAUUUGUGGCCAAAGAAUUGGCAAGGUCUGAAACCGUAGUAUUCAAAGCUAGUGAUAGACAUGAAUCGAGGUUGGGCCAUCAUCUCAUACAACCAGAGAACAUCAUAAUACCCUAAACCAUGACCAAGGGUGGAGCACCCGAGAGAAGCUCAAGCAACAAACCAGUUAACGUUUUCUUUAAGAACGGCUAGACUUGUAGACAUUUAUAUAGUUUUGUUUCCUUUUUUGUGUGAAAAAAAAAAAAAAAAAAAGAUCUUCAAAGAUCUUACUUACCCAAAGAUGAAGGUAUCUUACAUGAAAAAUGAGAUUUUCAGAGAAAUUCAUAGAAAAGAGAUAGCCAUCAAACUUCAGCUUUACCGUGAGAUCAGUAUUUACAUGCCAACAAAGAACAUUUCACAAAUUAACUUUAGUUUAAUGCCAAAACUACGAACUCUAAUCCAACCUCACCAACGGCAAACGUGUGUGAGACAUCACUAUAAGUAGUUCAUUCCCUAAUGCAUUUCUAACAAGGUAUUUUGUUAUACUUCAUAUGUUCAAGCAAAGUUUUGGAUCACAUUCCAACCAUCUAAUAGUGGAUUUGCAACUUAUUCAUGAUUCAUGUUAUGCAGCAUUAUAAUUGAACAAAUGUCCAUAACUAAGUACCUUUUUGAAAUCAGGAAUCAUAACCUAGUAGGGAAGAAUCAUAGAGUCAAUUUAGCAAAUAAACAACAUCGCUAGAAGGAUCAGAUGACGUGGUUUAUGACCAAGCAUGGUGGUAUUAAGCCACACACCCUACAACUUUUGACAAUAGAACCUCUGGAAUUAUGAACAGGAAAAUAGAAAUUAUAAAAAGACAAAUAAUAAAUUAACAAAAAACGAUAAACACAGAAAUUUGCAUUACAUUUCCAAAACAAAUAUCUAAUUACAAACAAUGAACGCAAAUCUUAUUACAGCAACUAGAAAAAUGGCAUAAUCAAAAAAAUAAAAAUAAAUUGUACCAUUAAGGACUUUAUGGUCCAAGAUAAUUUAGUAUUAAAAAAUUAAAACACUUGGUAAAACAUAAUCUAUCGUCCAACAUUUAUCAGAAACCCAACAUGCAAAGAGUUAGGCAAGUUUUCUGGCCAUUUGAUGCUGAUAUGUUGGGUCCACCCCAUGUGCAUCGGGUGGCCCAAAAGCCCAAAUCUAAUCCUACAAGGAAUAGGAAAAGUGAAUCCUUAUUUUUGGUGGAAUUAGACUUCUAGGAGACUUAUAUAUAAAUCCCACCUAGGGUGGGUUAAUUAGAGUAGAAUCCACAAAACUUACAUAUUCUGUGAGAACGUGUGGGACCAUGACCGAGAGACAUCGUUAACUUCGUGGAUGUUCAGCCCAAGAUCUUGGCCAAUUGAAUCCCGAAUGAGAUAAAAUUUCAGGCGUUUGUUCUCGGCACAUAAUAGGUGAUAUCCAGCUGUCAGAUUAUUGAUUGAAGAGGUCUAAGCCUUUUACUUUUUUAUAGAAGUUGGAAUCCACCUUUAGGUUGAAGUUUACUUCAUUGUGUUAGCCAAAAAUAUUUUAUUCUUGAUGUUGGCAUCCUCUAGGUUUGUCUAGAAAGGAUUAUUGGUGCAACCCAUUAUUAUUGAUAUAGUGGAGGAAUUAACGCCGGUCCUGUAAGCAUAAGCAAAUUAUCCAAUCACGUAAAUUUGGUCUCUCUAUUUUUCAAUAUUAUUUGUUGGUUUCUGGUCUAAUCGUUAGUUUGUUUGAUCCCAUUAAAUCACCCAAAGAGGGAAAAAGUAUUAUUUCCACUACAGAUUUGGUCUUCAUUUCCCAACAUGAUAAUAUUCUCAACAUACCCCUAGGUAAUGGAACGAAUGAAGAUAAGAUGAUCUGGCACUAUACAAAGCAUGGAGAGUAUACGGUCUGGAGUGCGUAAAAUCUGAUAGUUGAGCAAGGUUUGAUUAAAGAGUUUGAAAGGGCUGGAAUGUCUUCUAGUAAUGGACAGCUAAGCUGGAGUUUUCUGUGGAAAUCAAUGUAUACCCACAAAGAGAGAAAGAAUUGCACGGAGAGCUUGUGUGAACGCGUUACCUACCAUUGCUAACCUCAAGGCUAAAAACAUUUGCGACUUGGACUUGUGUUGUGUUUACCAAAUGGAGGUGGAAACACUGCUUCAUGGGGUCAGAGACUACAGAUUUGCCAAGGAUGUGUUUAUCAGUUUCAAUCAGGAAGUUCUUCAAUGCUCAGGAAAUAUUGUCCAAGAGUGGUUUCGCAAUAUUUUUCUCUUUUUGCUCAAAUGAGUUUGCUAGCACCUUGAUGGUGUGUUGGCGGCUUUGGGGCAAUCAAAGUGAUAUUUUACACAAUAAAAAUCGCAGCAGUGCUGAGGGUAUCGCUAAAAGUGCAUCCGAUAUAUUGAUGGCCUUUGGACCGGCAAAUAGAUAGAUCCCUCCAGUGGCUGGUAUGUUCAAAGUCAAUUUUGAUGGUGCUAUUUUUUAGGAAGAUAAGGCUCUUUUGGAGUUGGUGGUAUUAUUACGGAUGAAUUUGGUCAGUUUGUGGCAGCAAUAUCAAAGAAUCUUCAACUUGUUGAGCUCUUGGCAGCUAGGCGCAAUUCUUUUUACCAAAUAUUUAAAGUGCUAUGAGAUUGUGCUGGAGGGAGACUCUUAUGAGACAAUUAAAUCUAUUAAUGGUUAGAAGAAGCUUUAGAAGAAUUGAGUUCAAAGCUGUUAGAUGUACUGGGAAUUGGGUAGCACAUCAUUGUCUAGGAAUACUCGAUUUAUUUUUUAUAGUGAUAUAUGCUUGGAAGAGGCUCAUCAACCUUCCCCAUUGCAAAUUUUCCAAUUAUUUCAAUAAAACACCCUCAUUGUCAAAAGGAAAAAAAAUAAAUUAGGAAUCAGAGAACGACAUACCCAAAUUGACAAAUCCCAUUACAGUCCAUUAAGAUAACAAAAAAUAAUAUAAUAUAAUAUAAAACUAAAGCAAAACCAUAAAGAAAUAAAGAAGUAUAGAAGUGAAAGAAAGAACUAUGACCCCCCUUGAUGAAGUUUUGGAUGUGGUUGAGGGCGGCGCGAAUGGCAGCGGUGGCCUUCCUCGAUCCAAACCACGACUCGAUCUUGACCUUCUUCUUGCCGGUGGAAUCGUCGGUUGAGGAGCUUAAAAUUGCAGUUGAGGCUUCCCCAAGGAGAAACAUAGAGAUAGAAACGUAAAGAAAUGAAAGCCCUAGAACUUUGUAUAGAAUUUUCAAAAAUUAUUUUUUAUUUUGUCCUCAAAAGUGUGGAGAAAAUAAGGACACAUGAUCAAAACAACGCAAACAAUGUCUUUUCUCAUUCUGUCCAACUCAACAAAAGAAAAAAUCUAAAUAAGGGCAAAAUUGGAAAGCAAAUUAGGCUCCAAGAACUGACUCAAACAGUAAAAUAAAAACGGCUUUAUAUAUAGGAAGGAAAGGAUUGACAACAAAUUAAAUCACCUUUGAAAGAAUCCAAAACCAAAAUCAGGUUGGCUCGACCACAUUAACAAUACAUAGCCCAUAGCCCAAGUACAUAUACACUUGAACUUGGAUUUUGUAGUCUAACGAAAUGGGAUAUGAUUGCUGCAUUAAAAGGUAAAUCAGAGGCUAAACUUUUUAUUGCUUUCUCGAUGUGUGAUGUUAAAAUGUUGUGUUCUAAGCUCUCUUGACAUGGGUUGUUAUGUUCCAAAACAAAUAUCUAAUUACAAACAAUGAACGCAAAUUGUAUUACAACAAUUAGAAAAAUGGCAUAAUAACAAAAAAUAAAUAAAUUGUAGUCCCGUUAAGGAUCUUACGGUCCAAGAUAAUUUAGUAUUAAAAAAUAAAAACACUUAGUACAACAAAAUCUAUCGUCCAACAUUUAUCAAAAACCCAACAUGCAAAAAGUUAGGCAAGUUUUUUGGCCAUUUGAUGCUGACAUGUUGGGUCCGCCUCAUGUGCAUCAGAUGGCCCAAAAACCCAAAUCUAAUCCUAUAAGGAAUAGGAAAUCCCACCUAGUGUGGGUUAAUUAGAGUAGAAUCCACAAAACUUACAUAUUCUGUGAGAACGUGCGGGAUCGUGACUGAGAAACGUCGUCAACUUCGUGGAUGUUCAGCCCACGAUCUUGGCCUAUUGAAUCCCAAUUGAGAUGAAAUUUCAGGCCUUUGUUCUCGGCACAUAAUAGGUGAUAUCCACUGGUUAGAUUAUUGAUUGGUGAGGUCUAAGCCUUUUCGUCAUUUUUGUUAGCCAAUAAUAUUUUUUCUUGAUGUUGGUAUAUCCUCUAGGUUUGUCUAGAGAGGAAUAUUGGUGUCAUCCAUUAUUAUUGAUAUAUGGAGGAAUUGACUUCGGUCCCGUGAACGUAGGCAAAUUAUUGAAACACGUAAAUUUGGCGUCUCACUAUUUUUCAUUAUUAUUUGUUCUUUUCAUUCAGUGUUCUGAUUUAAUCAUUAAUUUGUUUAGUCCCAUUAAAUCACCCAAAGAGGGAAAAAGAUAUCAUUUUCGCUUCAAAUUUGUUCUUUACCCAACAUGAUAAUAUUCUCAACAUACCCCUAGGUAAUGGCACAGAUGAAGAUAACUUGAUCUGGCACUAUACAAAGCAUGGAAAGUAUACGGUCUAGAGUGUGUACAAUCUGAUAGUUGAGCAAGGUUUGAUUAAAGAGUUUGAAAGGGCUGGAGUGUCUUCUAGUAAUGGACAGCUACGCUGGAGUUUUCUGUGGAAAUCAAUGUAUACCCACAAAGAGAAAAAGAAUUGCACGGAGAGCUUGUGUGAACGCGUUACCUACCAUUGCUAACCUCAAAGCUAAAAACAUUUGCGACUUGGACUUGUGUUUACCAAAUGGAGGUGGAAACACUGCUUCAUGGGGUCAGAGACUACAGAUUUGCCAAGGAUGUGUUUAUCAGUUUCAAUCAAGAAGUUCUUCAAUGCUCAGGGAUUAAUGUCCAAGAGUGGCUUCGCAAUGUUUCUGACUCUUUUUGCUCAAAUGAGUUUGCUUUCACCUUGAUGGUGUGUUGGCGGCUUUGGGGCAAUCGAAAUGAUGCUGUACACAAUAACAAUCACAGCAGUGCCGAGGGUAUCACUAAAAGUGCAUCCGAGAUAUUGGUGGCCUUUGUAGAAAUGAAUAGAUAGGUCCCUCCAGUGGCUGGUAUGUUCAAAGUCGAUUUUGAAGGUGCUAUUUUUCAGGAAGUUAAGGCUUUUUUGGAGUUAGUGGUAUUGUUAUAGAUGAACUUGUUCAGUUUGUGGCAGCAAUAUCAAAUAAGCUUCAAUUUACUGGCACCCAUCAACAUGUUGAGCUCUUGGCGGCUAGGCAGGCAAUUCUUUUUGUCAAACAUUUAAAGUGCUAUGAGAUUGUGCUAGAGAGAGACUAUUGACGGGAUAAUUAAAUCUAUUAAUGGUCAAAAGCUUUAGAAGAAUUGAGUUCAAAGAUGUCAGAUGUACUGAGAAUUGGGUAGUACGAUAGUGAUAUAUGUUUGGAAGAGGCUCCUCAACCUCCCUCAUUACAAAUUUUCCAAUUAUUCAAUAAAAUACCCUCAUUAUCAAAAAGGGGGGAAAAAAGAAAUUGGAAUCAGAGAACGACAUACCCAAAUUGACAAAUCCCAUUACAGUCCCUUAAGAUAACAAAAAAUAAAAUAAAAUAAAUUAAAACUAAAGCAAACCCAUACAGAAAUAAAAAAGUAUAGAAGUGAAAUAAAGAAGUAUGACCCCCUUUGAUGAGGAUUUCGAUGUGGUCGAGGCGGCAUGAAUGGUGGUAGUAGUGUUCCUUUUUUCCGGAUAUAAAAUUCAGAGCGAGAGAGCACUUGCGAUAUUCUGCCAAGAAAGCUAUGAAUCUCACCAGUGGACUUUACUCGAUCCGAACCACGACUCGAUCUUGAUCUUCUUCUUGCCGGUGGAAUUGUCAGUUGAUGAGCUUGAAAUUGCAGUUGAGGCUUCCUAAGGAGAAACGUAGAGAUAGAAACGUAAAGAAAUGAAAGACCUAUAACUCUGUAACAGAGUUUCAAAAAUCAUUUUUUUGACACCGCAAUCCUUCCACAUUUCGUAAGAGUACAAAACCCAAAACCCAAAUUCAAGUGUAUAUGUACUUGAGCUAUGUGCUAUGUAUUGUUAAUGUGGUGGGGCCAACCUGAUUUUGGCUUUGGGUUAUCUGAGCCUAAUUGCCAUCCGAUUUUGCCCUUUUCUUGCUUUUUUCUUUUGCUGAGUUGAAGAGCGUGGGUCAGUAGAAAAGACGUUGUUGCCUCUAUUUUGAUUAUGUGUCCUAAUUUUUUCCACAGUUUUGAGGGCAAAAAUAAAAAAAGAUUUUUGAAAAUCCUAUACAGAGUUCUAGGUCUUUCAUUUCUUUACGUUUUUAUCUCUACGUUUCUCCUUAGGAAGCCUCAACUACAAUUUCAAGCUCCUCAACCGACGAUUUCACCGACAAGAAGGUCAAGAUUGAAUUGCAGGUAGGAUCAAGUAAGGCCAUUGCUGCCAUUCGCGCCACCCUCAACCACAUCCCAAACGUCAUAGGGGCAAUUUCUACAAGACGCAUGUCAUGUUCCUAUAACCAAUACAACAACAAAUCUAUUGAGAUUCAUAGCUUCCUUGGCAGAAUAUCACAAGUGUUGUCUUGCUCUGAAUUUUAUAUCCGGAAAAAAAGGAGUUUUCUUUCACUUCUAUAAUUCUUUAUUUCUGUAUGGCUUUGCUUUAUUUUUAUUUUAUUUUUUGUUGUUGUUAUCUUAAUGGACUAUAAUGGGAUUUGUCAAUUUGGGUUUGGGUAUGUCAUUCUCUGAUUCCUAAUUUUUUUUCUUAUUGAUAAUGAGGGUAUUUAAUUGUAUAAUCGAAAUUUUUUUCAAUGAGGAAGGUCGAGUAGCCUCAUCCAAGCAUAUAUCACUAUCAAGAAUAAAAUGAGCAUUUCUAGCCAAAUAAUGUGCUACCCAAUUCGCAGUACGUCUAACAGCUUUGAACUCAAUUCUUCUAAAGUUUCUACUAACCAUUAAUAUAUUUAAUUGUCUCAUUAGAGUUUCCCUCCAGCACAAUCUCGUAGCACUUUAAAUGUUUGGCAAAAAGAAUUGCCUGUCUAGCUACCAAGAGCUCAACAUGUUGAGGGGUGCCAGCAAAUUGAAGCUUCUUUGGAUUUCUUUCCAAUUCUAUACUCUUUUUGAUAAAUAAACUUGGACACGCUACAAAUCAAUUGUAAAAUUGGGCCUCCAUUUGCGGAUCUUGCCUGCGGUCCCCAUAACUAAUAUAUUCUAUAUAGGCAAUGUUAACAUUCGGGCCCCCAAAAUAUGGCCCAAUGAGAGACCCAAAGCAACCACUUUCAGGGGCCAUACUCAAUUUUAUUUACAUUAAUUAUUACAUAUAUAGGUUGGUAUUUUAUGUAUUGACAAUAUUUACUUUAACUUUAUUGACAUUUGUUUCUGUGAAGUGGUAAAGCGCAAACGGUUGAGCCAGCAACAACCUCAUUGGCCAUGAUAUUGUCCAUUUUCCAACACUUCAUUAAAGAAAGCCAGGACUAAAAUUGAUCUUUGUUCUAUCAUCUACUACCAAACUAAAACUUUUGCAGGGUGCCAGGGACAAAUGGGUUACUUGCGAAAACAUCACCUAAACUAUACACAUUUUAUUCAGAUUGUCCCUAAAGUAUUAAAUCGGUCCACUCAGCCUUUUAACUAUCUAAUUGAAGUCAAUUUAACCCUUAUAAUUAUAAUACUACGUUCAUAAACCCGAAUAAUUUUAAGAACAUAAAAAUACUCUUUUAAAUUUCAAAAAAAACUUUUAAGUAUCUAAAAUUUGUAGUUUGGUAAUCAUUAUGUGUGUCUUUUGGUAGGGCCCGGUACUCAGACUAAAAUAAUAUAAAUCAUAAAUAAAAAUGUAAAAGAACUUCUUUGAGCCAAAUCUAUGACUACUAUAGAUUAAAUUUAGGCUUGGAAUAACUCAUAUUGGGAUAUUAUAUUGGAUAUCAAAUAUUCUUGUAUAAAGAGGACGUUUGUUCUUAUCAAAUUAAUUUAGAUUUAUUAACUUGUUAUUAAAUAAAAAAAAAUUCAAAACCUUUCUUGUAAUUAAAAAACUUUAAAAGGUAGCACCUGUAAUUAGCUAAAUUAGAUAAUUGAGGGAUGACGUAGAUGCAAUCAAUAGUUAAGGUACGAAGUAGAAAAAAUCUGAAUAGUUUAAGGGAAUAGAGUUAUACAAUGACGGGAAAUAUAAAACUGAAACUACUAUUAGAUCACUGACUAUUCACCUAAAAAAGUUUCUGAUGUGCCAAACUCAGAGAAAAAAAAUUCCAGGACCUUCUCCGAGGACAUGGUAAAAAUAUGGAAAUUAAACAAAAUAACAUGAAAACUAAACCAGAGAUCCAAAAAUUAUACCCAAACAUGGCAGAUUCAUAAAGCACAUCGACAGAGAUACCAGAACAACAAUGAGUGCCAAGAGUCGCUACACCUGUAAAUUGAAACCCCAGCCAAGCUCCACGCGAGAUGCCGUCCAUCCUUUUCAAGUCCUCCCUCCACAAAGAUCCCUUGGAACCCUAGCCGCCCAGCCCAAGGACCACCCCUGUCACAAUCCCGACUUGAACCCGCCGGCCACACAAAACCUUACGAAACAGAGAGAGAUGAGGCAUGAAGACGGAGUGCCCUUGGAAUAUAGAGAGGGUGAGGAUGCCUAGGGCUCGUAGUGGGGAUUGAAAAUUAAGGGGGGAAAUUAAAACCCCGUAGGGAAGUUUUUAAGUUCUGGUCAAAAAAUUGAAAUAGACGG